rnacentral:misc_RNA from 1 species
GCAUGAUCUGGUGCGAGAUUUGACCCUUGAGAUGGCAAAAGAUGAGAAAUUUUGCAGCUUUGAUCAUGAACAUAAGCAAGAAUUGACCCAAUGUUCUCGAUGGUUGGGUUUCACAAGUGAAAUGGAUGCACAAUCCUUGAGCAAAACUCCAAAGCUCAGAGCUUUGCUGCGGACAACUAACAAUCUAACUCAACCCCAUAAGAAUUUGGGUUCACUCUGUUCACUAAGGGCACUUGACUUGUCUAAUAAUAAGCUAGACAAGGUUGCUUUUAAGAAUCUCCUGAG